rnacentral:rRNA from 1 species
AUAUCAAUAAGCGGAGGAAAAGAAACCAACAGGGAUUGCCCUAGUAACGGCGAGUGAAGCGGCAACAGCUCAAAUUUGAAAUCUGGCUUUCGGGUCCGAGUUGUAAUUUGUAGAGGAUGAUUUUGGUUAGGUACCUUCCGAGUUCCUUGGAACAGGACGCCUUAGAGGGUGAGAGCCCCGUACGGUUGGAUGCCGAGCCUCUGUAAAUCUCCUUCGACGAGUCGAGUAGUUUGGGAAUGCUGCUCUAAAUGGGAGGUAAAUUUCUUCUAAAGCUAAAUACCGGCCAGAGACCGAUAGCGCACAAGUAGAGUGAUCGAAAGAUGAAAAGCACUUUGAAAAGAGGGUUAAAUAGUACGUGAAAUUGUUGAAAGGGAAGGGCUUGUGACCAGACCUUUGCCUUGCGGAUCAUCCGGUGUUCUCACCGGUGCACUCCGCUUGGUUGAGGCCAGCAUCAGUUUCGGCGGCGGGAUAAAGACUUCAGGAACGUGACUCCCCCGGGAGUGUUAUAGCCUGCUGUGUAAUACCGCCGCUGGGACUGAGGACCGCGC